CUCGAGCAGCUACAGUAUCGUGUACGCGUUUGAGUCUGCGUAUCAAACUUCUCGAGACCAAUUUUUCACAAUGACUACGGUUACCUAUAACUUCGUAUAUGCUUUGUUGAAGCUUGAAGGAAGAAAGAUGUUGCGAAUGAACAUGCUGGACAAUUUCUAUCGUGGAAUCUAUUGGCCAGAGUAACAUAAUGGCUUGGACUAUGAUUCCUUGAGAUUUGAAAGAAGAAACGAUUGAAAAGGAACAUGUUGGACGAUUUUUAUUAUGGAAUAUGGCCAGAGUAACGUAAUGGCUUGGACUAUGAUUCGUUGAAAUUUGAAAGAAGAAACGAUUGGAAAGGAACAUGUUGGACGAUUUUUAUUAUGGAAUAUGGCCAGAGUAACGUAAUGGCUUGGACUAUGAUUCGUUGAAAUUUUGAAGAAGAAACGAUUGAAGAAGAACAUGUUGGACUACUCUUAUUAUGACUGUAGGCGUCAACGAUGUGUGUUAAACUGUACAUAGGAUGAAUCUUUUGGAGAUGGGUUUCCAAUAGCAACUACGGAAGUUCGUUGCGAAACGUGAGUCUAAGUUUCGAAGAACGCGGUAUAAACGUUAAAAUAUUUCAAGCUCGAAUUAUACGGUUCAAAGUCGAUGACUUUCUGUUGGCGAAUAAAUGGAGAAAAAGAUUGGAAAUUAUAGACGGACUAUCGAUUAUUGCCGAAAAUAAUCGAAAGCGAAGAAUAAGGAAGAUAAUAUUUCAAACCGGACACUAAACCAACCUUCUACGUUUGUUCGCCGUCUUCUGUAAAUGGGAAAAGUAAAGGAGAUGAAUAAACGAGCUUCGUACGAGAAAACGUGACGAGCAGACGCCAAGAUAAACGUAGAUGAUCACUCGAUAGCUUACGAGGAACGAGCAGGAUGUAUAAAAACAUGGAAUUUCUUGAAAAAACGUUUGAUCCAACAAUCAGUAACUCGAUAUGUACAGAUAUAUUUGAAGAAAUACUUGAUAACACGAAGUAAUUUAUACUUUGUUUCAACUUGAGUCCCAUCUGAUCAUAAAUUAGAAUAAUAAAUCGGAAGAAUAAAUCUUCAUAAAUCAGAA